GUGGGGAAUAUUGGACAAUGGGCGAAAGCCUGAUCCAGCCAUGCCGCGUGUGUGAAGAAGGUCUUCGGAUUGUAAAGCACUUUAAGUUGGGAGGAAGGGUAGUAACCUAAUACGUUGCUACUUUGACGUUACCGACAGAAUAAGCACCGGCUAACUUCGUGCCAGCAGCCGCGGUAAUACGAAGGGUGCAAGCGUUCAUAGGAAUUACUGGGCGUAAAGCGCGCGUAGGUGGUUCAGUAAGUUGGAAGUGAAAUCCCCGGGCUCCACCUGGGAACUGCUUUCAAAACUGCUGAGCUCGAGUACGGUAGAGGGUGGUGGAAUUUCCUGUGUAGCAGUGAAAUGCGUAGAUAUAGGAAGGAACACCAGUGGCGAAGGCGACCACCUGGACUGAUACUGACACUGAGGUGCGAAAGCGUGGGGAGCAAACAGGAUUAGAUACCCGGGUAGUCC
rnacentral:rRNA from 1 species